AUCAACUCCGUUGUCAUCUGAUCGUUAAGCACCGUCAUCCCGGGGAAACAUGUCAGACCGGUGAGGCGGUUUGCGUGUGUCUGUCCGUCUCUCCGCUCGGUGAGGUUAGACAGAGCCGCGGCGGUGUUUGAAGGAACCGGAGGCGAUGGCGCCGGUUCCUCGGAUGGAGCUGGUCGGUAAACGGUUUGUGUGUGUGGGUGACAGCGGCCGCGAGCUGGACGUGUCCAGAAUCCAUGAAUGGCACUGGCGAGCCGGGGUGAUCAGAGCCGUCUCCUACAGAGAGUCUUCCAACAGAGAGCUGUCGGUGUAUGUGGAAUUUGAUGAUCUAGAAUGGGAAAAACGUGAGUGGGUUAAAGUUUAUGAAGAUUUUAAGAUUUUUUUGGUGGAACACCAGCUGGUCUGGGCAGAGAGAAAGAACCCCAACCAGACUCAGGGAUCAAAAAGUAAGCAGGUUCAGUGGCCCGCUUUGGUUUGUUCAGUGUUUCCUGCUAAAGGCGCUGGGUGCUGUUUAGUAACUGAACCAAACUGCUGUUCUUCAAACAUGGGCCUAUGCAGAGGGUGUCAGCAAUCCAUUCAGCAAUGAUGGCCAUCCCAACUGGGAACAGUCAUGACCUUAUCCAAUGUCCACACCUACACUUGGAAUCAGAGGUCACAGGAGAUCAUCAGGAGCAAAACCUUGGCGAGUCCUUCUUUCUUUUUCUCCUAAGUUGAUGGACAGGGUAAUGCUCCCACUGACACAUCAGCUGAGAUCAAUGAACUUGGAAUCACAGUGCAACAUUUUGGAUUUUUGUGGCUCAGUCGAUAUGGUAGUGCAUUUAAUAGCUUCAGAGGUCCCAUUUUUCCCCCGAAGGCUGCUUUUUAUUUAUUUCCAGGCUUACCUUUCAGUUUUCAGGGCUCUGUUUUCAUUCUUAUGAAUUCCUUUAUUGACUGAUAAAGUGAUGGAGCAAUGUUGCCUUCUCUACUUGACUUUUCUAAAGGUUUCCUUCUUCGGAUAGCAUGAAUAUGUACUUUUAAAUAAUAUGCUAUAUAUUAUCAUGCCACAAAUACCAGUUUUCAGCCAAUUUGAUUCACUCCAUGUGAUAGUGCGAAAUAGCCAAAAGUUCUGGAUACUGCAAAGGCUAUGGACACUGACAACAUUCUGACAAUAGUACUGAAGACUUGUGCUCCAGAACUUGCUGCACCCGUGUCCAAGGUGUUCCAAUACAGCUCCAACCCUGACAUCUACCUGCCCAUGUGUAAAAUUGCCCAGAUGUUGACCUCUUUAACCAGGACAGUACAAAUACUCCCUCUUGUUCUUGCGACAUAACUAAGGACCCUCGAAAAUGAAGACAAUCAAGUUGGAAAAAGCUGUCAAAGUUGAGCAGUGAAAGUACAAGCUGUCCACUGUUGGUUCAUAGAUCACAGAAGAACUUGGUAAUAAAACCUUCAAUAUGGAAGACUAGAAAAUUAGAUAAAACAGAUAUUUCAGCCUAGUCUUCAUUUUCUUGCCAAAUGCUGACAGUUCUUUCAGCAGAGUAAAAGCUGUACAAAUGUCAGGUCUUACAAAAACACAUGAGAAUACUGAAAACUUAUUUGUGGUCCAAGGUAACAUCCAGUGGACUUAAAUUGUUUAGAAACCACGGACACUUGAAAAUUACAAACAAGGAAAGCCUCAAAUCUCCAGGUCUGUAUGCAAGUAUAAAAUGGGACACAAAGCUAUGGUUCAGGCAAUAACGAAUGAAAGCAAUGGCUUUUGUAUUGCUGAGGUUUUUUUAAUCUAAUGUACAAAAAAGUAGAGAAACCCCAUUCAUAUUUAUUCAUCUCCCUCCCAGAAACGGAAGGCUAGCAUGCAUGUCUCCAUUCUGAAUAACACAUGAAAUACACUGAUGUGACUGACACUGCCUCAAGAUUAUUAACAUAAGACCAUAUGAAGGCACAGAAGUAGGUGAUUCAGCACAUCGAGUCUCUGCAGCCAUUUCGUUAAAUAACAGCUGGUGUGACAACCCUCAACUCCAGUUUUCUGCCUUUUCCCUAUAUCCCUUAAUUCCAUCACAGGUCACAAAUCUAUCUAUCUGAAUAUACAUAAUGACCCAACAUCGAUAACCUGCUGUGAUAAAGAAUUCCACAGAUUCACUACCUUUUGAGAGAAGCAUAGAAUCACAUUUGUUGCUGCAAUAUGCGCCCCACACCCUAAUCCAGCAGAGAGCCACUGCUGCACUUGGCACGGUACUGAUGAGUCAGGAAUCAUAAGUGCUGACAUUUCAAGAGGGAAUUCUGAUGGAAGCAGAUUUUCAGCAUUUUGGUUUUGCCUCUGAAAUUGAGGGGGUUUCACACUUGACUGAAGAGAGUUGUUCUUUGGGAAUGGAGGAGCAACAGAAAAUAAGAGAAGUAGGGGUCAGCAGACUGUGGUUGAAGCAGAAGAAGUAUACCAUUGAUAUUUGCAAUAAUGAAGAACAGACCACAAUGAAAUGCACUUUCUUUUGGACGUUUUCAAUCUAAUGCCAUAUCAGUGGGGUUUUCAGGUUUGAAGCAACAGUGAUAACAACAAGUAGGGUAACUGGCAAAUCACAUAGAAGUAUUAUUACUGACAGCAAAUUAGGCCGUUAGAAACAAUGAAUUCUAUCGGUUCUAAUUUGAAUUGUCAAAUGGUGAAUCAAUAAUUGAUUGGAUCAUUAUGGAUAAAGUAUUAUAAACUUGUUUUAAAAUGCUAAAUUUUAUAACAGUGUCAAAAUUUGACUUCUCUAAAUAUGAAAAUAGUUUUUCAAGGACAAUGAGGGUGUUUCAAAGUAAUUAUGAAUUUAGCAUGUCUUGUGAAAACUCCUAACCCAUUCAACAAGGAACAGUUUUCUUCAACAUUUUUCAAAAGGAGACAACUAACAUUAUAAUCUUCAUCGGUUCAUUGAUUGCUUAGAGUUUGUGUCCUGGGGGACCGUCAGUGACACACCCUCUGGAGGAACAUGGAACUACUGACUGCAACUUCUGGACCUUCAUAUUUAAAUGUCUUUGUGAAUAGACUUUCAAAAUUGCUGUGAGUUUCAUUGAAUUAACGGUAGUGAAUACUGAUAGAUUUGUACUAAUUAACACUACAUUAUUUGUGUCAGUAAUUCUUAUUCUUGGACUUGAUGCGCGAGUUAGAGCUGUGAUCUAGAAGAUUUGCUAAGCAUUUUUAAACUUAUAUACUCUGCAAGUUUGAAAUAAAUUGUUUUAUUUGCAUAAUUAAAA